AUUGAACGCUGGCGGCAGGCCUAACACAUGCAAGUCGAGCGGAUGAAGGGAGCUUGCUCCUGGAUUCAGCGGCGGACGGGUGAGUAAUGCCUAGGAAUCUGCCUGGUAGUGGGGGAUAACGUCCGGAAACGGGCGCUAAUACCGCAUACGUCCUGAGGGAGAAAGUGGGGGAUCUUCGGACCUCACGCUAUCAGAUGAGCCUAGGUCGGAUUAGCUAGUUGGUGGGGUAAAGGCCUACCAAGGCGACGAUCCGUAACUGGUCUGAGAGGAUGAUCAGUCACACUGGAACUGAGAAACGGUCCAGACUCCUACGGGAGGCAGCAGUGGGGAAUAUUGGACAAUGGGCGAAAGCCUGAUCCAGCCAUGCCGCGUGUGUGAAGAAGGUCUUCGGAUUGUAAAGCACUUUAAGUUGGGAGGAAGGGCAGUAAGUUAAUACCUUGCUGUUUUGACGUUACCAACAGAAUAAGAACCGGCUAACUUCGUG
rnacentral:rRNA from 1 species